rnacentral:rRNA from 1 species
UACGGGGGGGGCAAGCGUUGUUCGGAAUUACUGGGCGUAAAGGGCUCGUAGGCGGCCAACUAAGUCAGACGUGAAAUCCCUCGGCUUAACCGGGGAACUGCGUCUGAUACUGGAUGGCUUGAGAUUGGGAGAGGGAUGCGGAAUUCCAGGUGUAGCGGUGAAAUGCGUAGAUAUCUGGAGGGACACCGGUGGCGAAGGCGACAUCCUGGACCAACACUGACGCUGAGGAGCGAAAGCCAGGGGAGCAAACGGG